rnacentral:rRNA from 1 species
GGUUCAAGGAUGAAAGACGGUUUCGGCUGUCACUUACAGAUGGACCCGCGGCGCAUUAGCUAGUUGGUGGGGUAAUGGCUCACCAAGGCGACGAUGCGUAGCCGACCUGAGAGGGUGAUCGGCCACACUGGGACUGAGACACGGCCCAGACUCCUACGGGAGGCAGCAGUAGGGAAUCUUCCGCAAUGGACGAAAGUCUGACGGAGCAACGCCGCGUGAGUGAUGAAGGUUUUCGGAUCGUAAAGCUCUGUUGUUAGGGAAGAACAAGUGCGAGAGUAACUGCUCGCACCUUGACGGUACCUAACCAGAAAGCCACGGCUAACUACGUGCCAGCAGCCGCGGUAAUACGUAGGUGGCAAGCGUUGUCCGGAAUUAUUGGGCGUAAAGGGCUCGCAGGCGGUUUCUUAAGUCUGAUGUGAAAGCCCCCGGCUCAACCGGGGAGGGUCAUUGGAAACUGGGAAACUUGAGUGCAGAAGAGGAGAGUGGAAUUCCACGUGUAGCGGUGAAAUGCGUAGAGAUGUGGAGGAACACCAGUGGCGAAGGCGACUCUCUGGUCUGUAACUGACGCUGAGGAGCGAAAGCGUGGGGAGCGAACAGGAUUAGAUACCCUGGUAGUCCACGCCGUAAACGAUGAGUGCUAAGUGUUAGGGGGUUUCCGCCCCUUAGUGCUGCAGCUAACGCAUUAAGCACUCCGCCUGGGGAGUACGGUCGCAAGACUGAAACUCAAAGGAAUUGACGGGGGCCCGCACAAGCGGUGGAGCAUGUGGUUUAAUUCGAAGCAACGCGAAGAACCUUACCAGGUCUUGACAUCCUCUGACAACCCUAGAGAUAGGGCUUUCCCUUCGGGGACAGAGUGACAGGUGGUGCAUGGUUGUCGUCAGCUCGUGUCGUGAGAUGUUGGGUUAAGUCCCGCAACGAGCGCAACCCUUGAUCUUAGUUGCCAGCAUUUAGUUGGGCACUCUAAGGUGACUGCCGGUGACAAACCGGAGGAAGGUGGGGAUGACGUCAAAUCAUCAUGCCCCUUAUGACCUGGGCUACACACGUGCUACAAUGGACAGAACAAAGGGCUGCGAGACCGCAAGGUUUAGCCAAUCCCAUAAAUCUGUUCUCAGUUCGGAUCGCAGUCUGCAA